rnacentral:misc_RNA from 1 species
GAUAAAGAACGUAGCGAAAUGCGAUAAGUAAUGUGAAUUGCAGAAUUCAGUGAAUCAUCGAAUCUUUGAACGCACAUUGCGCCCGCCAGCAUUCUGGCGGGCAUGCCUGUUCGAGCGUCAUUUCAACCCUCGAGCCCCCCCGGGGGCCUCGGUGUUGGGGGACGGCACACCAGCCGCCCCCGAAAUGCAGUGGCGACCUCGCCGCAGCCUCCCCUGCGUAGUAGCACACACCUCGCACCGGAGCGCGGAGACGGUCACGCCGUAAAACGCCCAACUUCUUAGAGUUGACCUCGGAUCAGGUAGGAAUACCCGCUGAACUUAAGCAUAUCAAUAAGCGGAGGA